rnacentral:lncRNA from 1 species
GUUUUAUUUGCACCAGGCCGCUCCUGGCUUCUGGGGUGCUACAGAGUCCUCUUCCAGCAUAGAUUUGGCAAAAUUCCAUUCUGGAACCAUAUUGCAGUACCAGGAAACUCACAGACAUUACCAGUUCUGGGACCAGACCUCACCUCUGUUGUCGUACGUAUUUUGUUUUGUUUGAAGUUUAUUUUUUAUCUUCUUCUUAUAGAGUUUUAUAUUUUGUAGCUAUCUUUUGGCUUAUAUAUUUCAGCACCAAAUCCCAGAAGGGAGCCUACUUUAUACCCCUCCUCCCUCCUUCCCAAAGUGGUCACAGUAGAAUUCACCUCAGAAAACAGGGAUGCAAAAUUUCCUUCGUUCCUGUGUUCAGCCUCUUCUGUUGCCAGAGGGAAAGCAGUGUAAUGUGUCUGGAAGUCACAGCUAAGUGCCCUUGGGCUCAUUUGGCGCAUGGAAAUCAAUAUUUGUUGAGUUCCUGCUGUGAGUCUGGCUCUGCUAGGUAUAGCACGCUCAGGCUUUCAGACCAGAAGGAUUUUGCAGAUCCUAUAAAAAUAAGGCUUUCCUUCCAUCUGUCACCUUCAGAGGUCUCUGUUGUUUUUUCUUUCUUUCUUUCUUUUUUUAAGGGGCCAAUAUGCAGGCUUCCCUUGGGACCUUGUACCCAGCAUGGGCUUUCAUACAUGAGAAGUUGUCAAAGAAAGAUCUAUGUGAGCCCCAGCUCAGAAAUUGUUUGAUGCAGCCCAUUCUAUGAAUGAGACUUGUUUUAAAAUUUUUGAAAAAUAUACUUUAUCCAACCAAACUACAGAGGCUCCUCCCCCCCCCCGCCCCCCCCUACAUUGCUGGGGUUAGGUUUUAUGUUGAAGCAAUGUGUAGCUCCACCUGCUGAAAUGGCUGAGAAGACUCACCCCAUUGUAAGAAUAUUACCUAAGCAGUACAGCACCUAGGUGGAGAGCUGCUGAGGAUGCAGGCAAGACAGCCGUGGAAGGAGCAGCAGUCUACAAGAGAACAGAGUGUACAGGAGAAAAGGGGACCAAAGCACAGUAAAAGAAACAGGAAAACACAGAAAAGAGAAAAAGACGACAGUAAAAUUCACAGGGUGGUGCAGAUGACUGGCUUUUGCUCUCUGGAGGGAAUUUUGAAAAACUCUGGAAACAAGCAUUUUCAUAAGUAAAAACUCGAUAAGAAAAAAUAUCCUGUUCACUUAGAUGAACAACAAAGUCAGGCUGGGGCUAUAGCUCAGUGGCAGAGUGCUUGCCUAGCAUGUGUGAGGCACUGGGUUUGAUCCUCAGCACCACAUAAAAAUAAAUAAANGUCUCCAAAGGAAUGCCCUUGGUACCACUGAAUUCAAUACUCAGGUAAUAAAAUUUCUGUUCAGCAAACAUUUUUCGACAUAGGAAGCAGUUCUAAUUCUAUUUGGGGAAUAUAGAUCGUUGGUGAAAUUCAGAGACCAUUAUCUCUCCUCCCUGUUUGAAGGAUUCAGAUUCCCCCAUCUGGUAAAACAUCCUGUACAAUCUGUUAUAAUCCUCAGAGGAGGAAAAAAAGCAAAGCUUUCAGGAACAGGUAAAACUGCUUUUAUUGUUCUUUGUUGCCAUGAAAGGACAUUAUAUAUUCAGCUCUAAAUGCUGAAUUCAUUAAUAACAGUGCUUUUCUUCCUCACCAGGAGUAAGGCGAUUUAAAUCAUUAUUUACUUCCUUUCAGCUAAGGCUUCUGUUGUUCUGAUCAGCUAAUUGAACCAUGGAAUAUCUCCUUGGGAAGAAUGUGAGGCAGAAGUGCAAGUGUGUCUGCAGAUGCUGGGCUCUAAAAGCUCACAGUUAAUUGCAAAGUCACUGUUUGCAAUUUACUGUCUGCAUCUGUUGCCAUUUGGGUGCAAUGAUAAUGGCUACCCUUGGGAGUCAGGGUUGCCUCUCCUGAUAAGUCACUUCUAAAAUCAUCUAAACAAAUGAAGUCAUUUUUAUUUGUCAGCAUGAAUUAUGCCACUAGUAAAAGUCAUGAAUCCAUGUUGUUAAACUAAUGUGGAUUUAUUCUAAAGUCCUCACCACUCAAAUUAGCAUCAGGGAUACUAGGGCAGGCUCCAGUCAAAAGCCGGAUAGCAACAGCUUUAGCUGAAAUCAAAGACAAUCUUCGAUCAUCUCAGGAGAGCUACUUAAGUCAGUACCAGCCGCCAAAGGGUCCAUCAAUAGGAAAAAAAUUUAAUUGAAAAAAAGGCUUUUUGAAAUUCACUUCUUUCAUGCCUCCCCUUGCCUUUGCUGGCUCACCUAAAUAAAUUGUAUUUUCUCUUCUUGUGCCUGAAUACUCUCAUCUGAUGGUGUAACCUUCGCUUCCUUUCUUCUCCUUCUCACCCAAUACAAAAGAGGCUUUCUGUUUCCUCUUCCUGUCCAACAGGAAUUGUGUGCAAAUGCCUGCAUACACACACACACACACACACACACACAAUUUCCUGGGGUUAAAAUAGAAAGCAGUUACAGGAAAGGCAACCAGAUUAUGGACAAAGGAGAUAGUUCUAUUGACUAAGUUCCUUCUUGGGAUGACUAUUCCAUGGCAAAAUAACACAAAGAUGAGCAUCAGAAUUUCAAAUGAAACUUUCCAUCUAUGACCAGGUUGGAAAUGGGGGUGGCUAUGACUCAGAGGAAAUAUCAAAAUACAGGAAGUAUAGUUUAAUUUUUUUUUCACCAAAAACAGUAUAGUUUAAUAUGCACCUUCUCCUUCCUUAACUUGGUGUUGGAAGGUGUCCCACUUGGAACUCAAGUGAAACCAAGACAUUUCAGUGCUCUUCUGUGUGCUACAAGGGUAGGUCUUUAAGAAGUUUACUGGGAUAGUGAAGAAGAAAUCUUGGGGAAAAAAAAAACUUUCUUUUUCUCUGGAGAGAAACAUGCCCCAGAAAAAGGGAAUAGGGGUCAAGUCUAUAGGAGCGGAGGGGUGAUUCUGUGUGCCACGUGAGGUCCUCAACUCAGAUUUGCCGUUACAUCAGGCCCCACAGACCCACAUUUCAAUACAGGGGACAGAGUUGGUUAGUGAAGACCAACAUGAAGUAAAAUCUAAACCUUUUAUGAAAGAUCAUAAAAACUUGCUUAAGACAGCAGUAAUGAAUUGGUAAGCUUGUAAAAGGACAGUUGGCACACAAUUGGCACACUGAGGGCUCCCCUGCAUUGGACACAUCAAGUGUGAGCAGUAGGCGAGCCUGACAGCUACACCAGUGGAAGUGGCCUUAGUGUCUCACUGACUACAUCUGUCUGGAGAGGGAAGGGGACAUGCAGUGUGGACAAGGUUUAGAGGAAGAGACAUGGAAACAAAAUAACUGUUCGUGUAAGUUAACUGACUCUUGUUUGGGAGAGACACCCUGGGGACCUUUAUAAGUACUUGGGUUUGGGGGAGGCCACUGCAGAAAAAUGAGACCUGUAUUAGAUGGGCUCAAGAGCCAGUGAGUCGAGGUGAUUUCAUUGAUUAUUUCCCUAAGUGUGGUUUUACGCAUGGAGGGUCUAAGCAAGCAAACAAACUCUCAACUGUUUCUCUUUGAAAGGAGAGAAAUAUGCCAGUCCCUGGAAUGCUUUGGCACAAGAGUAAGCAAAACUGGAAUGUGUCACAGUUUUUUGUUUUGUUGUUUUGUUUUGUUUGAGGGGGUAAUUCUAGUCCAAUGAAGAUGGCACUGAGAAUAUUGGCAGGACUACUUAUAACUUUACCACUAUACUGGCAGAAAUAAUGACAAUUAUUAAUUAUGGGGUAUCAUAGGAAAAUGGAUUUAAUGCUUAAUUUUGGAGCUCUUUAUAUUUAUUCCCAUAUAUGUUUAUUCUUUUGAGAUUUAAUUCAUCAUUGGUGUUUGGUGAGGGAUUCUUCAAAGAUCUCGUGUCUGUAUCCAUUUUCCCAUGCUUGUCUUCUCAUACCAUUCUGUGUCCAUCUUGAAUCUUAUUUUAUGUUGAAAUAAUUGUUUAUAUUCCUGUCUCCUUCCAUGAGGCUAUGAGUUCCUCAAGAACAUGGCAAUAUUACAUGUUUAAAUUAUUUAAACUGAAUUCUUCAUAGCCUUCAUCAUUUUAAGAAUAAGCUCUCAUCUUAACACUGGCCCUACCCACCCCCCCAAAAAAAAAUCUUAGCUCAAGUAUUUAUGACGGUCUUAACCAUGGCUAAGAUUGGAAGUUCUCACUGAACGUCUAUAUUCUUCUUUUUCAAGAGUAAUAAAAAUCUUAGGUGGGAAUUUGGCAACAUAGAGAUGCUAUGCAUCUUGAGUCAAUUCAGGCUGCUCUAACAAAAUACCUUGGACUGGAUGGCUUAUAAACAACAGAAAUUUACUUCUCACCAUUCUGGAUGUAACAAUCUGAGGUCAAGGUGCCAGCAUGGUCAAAUUUCAGUUAAGGCCCUCUUCCAGGUUGAAGACAGCCAUGUAUCCUUACAUGGAAAGAAGAGGAUGAGAGUUCUCUCAUGUUUCUUUAUCUAAAGGAACUAAUCCCAUUCAUGGGGGCUCCAUUCUCACGACCUGAUUACCUACAGAGGCUUGCUUCCUGAUACUAUCACACUGGAGUUAGGAUUUUAACAUAUGGAUUACCAGUGGGGGCGGAGCAGCACAAACAUUCAGUUCACAAUACCGCAUUUCCCAUUCUCCCUUACCUGUAGUCAUGUAAUGAAGUUUUGGACAUUAGGAUACCAACAAAAUAUUGAGUGAAACUUCUAGUCUGUGCCAAGGAAGGGAAGGAGAUCAGUUUCCUUCCUCCAAACCCUACAUCUUGCUACUUGAAUCAGGGAUAUAGUGAUGAACUAUCCCUGCCUUUUAAGACAAGCGCCACUCCCUGUAUUUGGCAGGGGGAAAAACAGAUAAAAGGAAGCUGAGACCUUAUACCACAGACGCAUCAUGCACAUCCUCUAUACACAUCCCUGAGCAUGUGAGGGAGAAAUGAAUUUCUAUCCCAUUCAGAUCACUAAAUAUAUGAAGAUAAACACUGGUGUAUGAUAUACCAAAAAAUAUUCCACAGAACCAACCAGUGAUCUGUCCUUAUUUAUCACACCUUGAAAAUCCUCUUGGCAAAGAAUAAUAAGUUUAAUAUCAAAACAAUAAAUAACUACAUUAAAUCAGUAGCUGAUAUGAAAUUGGCAAGCUCCCUUGGAUAAACUACCAAAUUUCUACUAUGUUGUGUUCAUUUAUUCAUAAUUGCAAAAUAAGGGAAGGACCUUCCCUUCCAGCAUUCACUACUUACAUUGUCCAUUUGUCCACCAUUUAGCUGUCCAUUGGUUGAACUCCAAGAGGGCUGAAUUUAUAGUUUCUAUCUGCUGUCCCUCUUAGGUCACUCAGGUGUGGUUACCUCCCUACCCCAACACACUUGCUCUGAAACUCACAGAUCAUAUGCUGAACAUGGACAACAUAAUGAGAAACAAAUUUUAGUUUCAUUCAUAGUCACCUUCUGCUCUCUGCUUUCACUUUAUUUUAUCCUCUCCCACCUACCCCUUCAUCUUCUAAUUCUCUAUCCCCAAAGCAAUGACUUCCUACUAUCUACUACUUUCAUUGUCUUGUGCCAGAAAGAGUCGUUAACCAUAUUCUUUUUUUUUUUAAGUUACCCAAAGUGACCUGGUGUGUUGAGUUCAUAUCUUUUCUUUUUAAUCUUUUUUGUACUUGUAGAUGGACAAAAUGCCUUUAUUCUAUUUGUUUAUUUUUAUGUAGUGCUGAGGAUCGAACCCAGUGCCUCAUGCCAGCACUCUGCCACUGUAUCUUGAGUGGCUUUUGUAUCCCUAAUGAAUUCUGAGACUCAUGCUCACCCACCAAGUCUCCUUCCACGUGCUGUACCAUUGCACAUAGAGGUCCUGUACAGCCUAGCCAGGGUGGCUACCCAGGGCCUGAGGCAGAGAAGUUGUUAGGUGCUAAAGAGCCAGAUGAUCCUAUCCUGAAGUAAUAAGAAAUUUGUAAAGAUGAGAGACAAAUUGGUAGAAAGUCUUUAGAGAAAGCAGAAAAUCAAAUGCCUAGUUCUUUUGGUUGUUGUUAUUUUUAGAUAUACAUGACAGUAGAGUGUAUUUUGACAUAUUAUACAUACAUGGAGUAUAACUUUUUCCAGUUAGGAUCCCAUUCUGUGGCUAUACAUGAUGCAGAGUUUCACUGGUGGUAUAUUCAUAUAUGAAUUCAGGAAAGUUAUGUUCAAUUCAUUCUACUGUCUUUCCUAUUCCCAUCCCCCACUUCCCUUCAUUUCCCUUUGUCUAAUCCAAUGAACUUCUAUCCUUCCCCCCCCCGCCAUUAUGAGUCAGCAUCUACAUAUCAGAAAGAACAUUUGGCUUUUGGUUUUUUGGGACUGGCUUAUUUCACUUAGCAUGAUAGUCUCCAGUUCCAUCCAUUUAAUGGUAAAUGCCAUAAUUUUAUUCUUCUUUAUGGCUGAGUAAUAUUCCAUUGUGUAUAUGUUCCACAUAUUCUUUAUCUAUUCAUCUGUCAAAGGGCACCUAGGUUGGUUUCAUAGUUUAGCUAUUGUGAAUUUAGCUGUUAUAAACAUUGACAUGGCUAUGUCACUGUAGUAUGCUGAUUUUAAGUUCUUCAGAUUUAAACCAAGGAGUGGGAUAACAGUCAAAUGGUGGUUCCAUUCCAAGUUUCCUCAAGAAUCUCCAUAUGGCUUUCCAGAGUUUUUGCACUAAUUUGCAGUCCUGCCAACAAUAUAUGAAUGAACCUUUUCCCCCACAUCCUUGCGAACAUAAAAUGCCUAGUUCUAAAGGCAGAAGGGACAUACUGAAUAAGUGACAAAGUUCAAGAGUAAGAAAAAGAAUGUAGGUUGGGGAGUAGCUCAAUUGGAGGAGUUCUUGCCUUGCAUGCAUAAGGCCCUGGGUUCAACUCCCACACCACAAAAGAAAAAAAAAAAAGCAAACUAUUCAAAUUGGAAUUGGAUCAGGAUUCACAUCUCAUACCAUUACAAGUUGUUUGAUGGAAUGUAAUGAAAUCUCUAUUUGUUGCUUGUGAUUUUUUUUCCUAAGGUAGAGAGAAUUGAUUUACUCCUGGUAUGCUUCCAUCAGCAAGCUGGGCAAUGACCUCCUCUUACCUAGUUUUGUUCUUUUACUUCAUCAUUCUUGAUCCUCACUCCUAUUCUCCUUUCCAGUAUAGGGAUUUAUUCUAAUUUGCAAACAACAUAUGUCCUUGGAUAUGUCUAUGGAAAAUGGUACAGAAUUUAGAAUUCAAUUUGGAGUUAGUCAGGCUCAAACAAGGCCUUUCACUGGACUAGGUUGGAAUUAGUGUCCAUAUGUCUCACACCACUUCAGGUUGUUUGCUGGAAUGUGGUGAAAUAUAAAUCUAUAUUGUAUUGUGGUGUUUGUUUGUUCCAUAGCUAAGGUGGAAAAAGUUGAAUUACUCAUGGCAUGCUACCAUCAAGUCUUUGCAAGGACUCUCUCUUACUUGGCUUUGUUCUGUUUUGUUCCUUUAUUCUUGAUUCCCUCCCUUACUCCUUCCUCUGUCACAAGGACGUAUCCCAGUAUAUAACCCAUAUAUGUGCUUGUAUAUGUCUAUAUCCAUGUAAAAUAUGUGGUAUCAUACUGUCUGUAUUUGUAAUUUGUAAAUUCAAAAUUUAUGUGAUUUAAUUAUGGGGAAAGACUAAAUCGAGUUCCAUCUGAUUUAGGCAGGACCCACACCUCCUGGAUUCUGUAGCUUCAUUGUUAAUAAUAAAUAUGUCAAAAUGAAGAAAGCAUCCUGUGCUUCUGGGAUGAAAGGGAGUUCUGUGGGCUUCUGGAAACAUGCCCACUCCUUUUUCUCCCACCACACUCACCACAAUUUGCCUGAAUAGAGGCCAACAGAGCUAAUCCCACACAUCUUAUAGGUGUUUUUUGUUUUGUUUUGUUUUUUGAAUCCACCCAUUUUGUACCACUGGGCUUGGAGAUGCUUACGAAUUUUCAUGUCAACAAUUGUAAAGGGACUGAGAUUUUACCCUAUUUGCCACAGUUUCAUGAAAGCUGGCAUAAGACAUGAGACUCCUACAUCAGAGACAAGAGACAGUUCAUUAUUCAUAGAAAUAACAGUGGACAUUGUAUCAUUAGUUUUCUUGGGCUAGUUCCAUAAAAUCUAAUUUCCAGUGUGACACAAAGAAGAUCAGGUGACACUUGCACACAUGGGGAUGCAUCACAGGAGAGAAACCCUGAACUUAAGGAACACAAAUCUUUUUAAAUGGUUAGUAAGCCUGCCUGACCUUUGCCCUAAAGGGAGACAUUAUUUUUUAUCAUAGAACAGCAAGACAAUUUGCCCUUUGUUAUUUCUAUUUUCCAAAAAUGUUUGCCAUACAAACGAUAUCCUUGAAAAGGUAGUCCAGAACAAAUGCAGCCUGCUUGCAAGACGUAUAAAACUCUAAGACACCCUUGGAGGAUUGUUGCUUAAACCUCUUUCCAAAUAAUUUUCUCUUUCCUCCCGAAACACCCUGUCUAUGAAAGUUGGACCACUGGAUAACACUUUCUCACUGCAAUCAUCUACAAACCCUAGAUUAUUCUCACUCAUUUUCUGAAGAUUUCUAAAUAAAUCAAUGUAUACAUUAUUCUCUUAAUAUCCCAGGCUUUUGGUUCCAUGGUCUCUUCUUCCCCAGUGAGCUUAAACUUGAUUCCAUUUUCUGAUUACUUGUGAAGUUGAUUGUUAUGGCAAAUAACAUCAUGGAAUCUGUUAUGUUUUUAGUUGAUUAUUGCUGAUGCAGAGAAACAUUAUUGAUUUUUGUGAAUGGACCUUGUAUCUGACAUUCUUGCUAAAUUCUCAUAGCAGUUCUGUAAUCUUUCUGUUGAUUUAACCGAGAUUAUCUCAAUUGCAAAAGAAAAAAUAAAUAAGAGAAAGAAUGAAGGAGAAAGGGAGGAAGGAAGAUAGAAAGGGGGAAGUAAUUGAGAGGGAGGCAGGAAAGAGAGUAAAAAAGAAAAAGAAAUUGUUCUUUUUCUCCAAAACAUUAGGAAAAAACCCAAUAAUCUAGUGACCAACAUACAGCAAGAGUUAUAGUGAAUUGAACCCUUAUGGAGCAUAUGAUCAAAAUCAUUUGGUCUAAUUUAAUGGCACAGGUAGUUUCUGCUUUGCAUUUCAAUGAUCAGCUUGCUCAAUUCUGCCAAAUAAAUGCCUACACUUACCUUUUGCUUCCUUAUUCAUAUGCUUAUUCCUUUUUUGGCUAUAUAAUUAUAGAUGCUUUGUUAAUGUAUAAUGUUACAAAAGAGUGUACAGCUUUAUUUCAGCAGGCAGAGUAGUAACCAGUAGUCUUUAGCUUCUUUUUGAAUAGCCACACUUAAUUUCCCAACAUUCUCACCAGUACUCUCAAUGGGAAGAAAAUUUAAGCCCACGUUUUACAGGGGAAAAAAAAACCCUCUUGAGUAGUUUCCUAAAUGGUGAUGUAUAAAAAAUGCCCAAGUCACAGUAAUUGUUGUUGCUUGAUGAUCCAAAUUCAUUGCUUAAUAGGAGUUUCAAGAGAUUAAUUGCAUCCAAAUAUACACAUCACUUCCCGAAUUGAACAUGUACAAAAUCAAAUUUAUUCUAUCUAAAUAAACUUGGAAAAGAUUUCAUGCAAACACAUAAUUUUAGAAGCUGGGAAUUUCCCAAAAUAUUCACAAGAAAUCUAGAUGCCUCUAGAAACAAGUUCCUGAAAACGAUCAACUCAAUUGGAAUGGAAAUUUUUUCAUACCUAAAAAGCACAAGAAAUGGCUUAGUUAAAAAAUAAUUUCUACCAGAAUUAUUGCAAGGUACUUGGUAAAAUUUGAGCAUCAUUUAAACCACAACUAACAGAUUUCACCUAAAGUUUUUCAUAAGCUAAAUGGAAUUCAGAGCCACGUUAUACAACCAAGACACCAAGAUUAAACCUUAUUGAAAGGAACAGAACUCUCUGUAUUUAUCACAUGACACUGGAAUAAUCUUAGCUGCCCUCAGGGUAGACAGGACACAAUUUAAAUGCAAUGGUUUAGCAAAGAGACAGGAAUUUAAAACAAAAAUAGCUUUAUGAAAGUGAUCCUGUUAAUCUAUGGAGAAAACAUAAAAUACAAUGAAAAUAUUUUUAAACAGAACAUCAGAGUAGUUACUUAACAUAAGGUCAUCAUUAAAGACAGCAGGGUUGUCAAUGGAGUUAAUUCAUUAGAGAAUAUAUGUAUCACUAUGAUAUCAAAAAUUCUAUGUAGCAAUUACAUGUGCCACUAUGAACAAUGGCAGUGAGGUAUUCUCUCUUCCUUUCCUUUUUUGAUUUUUCAUUUUUUAAAAAUCUUUUUGCACAGUGCAGUGCAUAGGUAUGUUGCAGGUGUUCCAUCUUGGUGUUUUAAAGUAAGGUGAUAAGAGAUUUAAGGCUUUAAGCUAUUUCUAGAUAUAUUCAUUAUCACUGGUUUUGGUUAUCUAACAGACAUAUGAUUUGUUUGCAGGAACCACAAUGUCCUGAAUUAGUUCAGUCUAGACCAAUUAUUCUAACCCCCAACUUCGACUUUUAACUCUGCCAGAUGCUAUUUGACAGUAGAUUCCCCAAUACUGAAAAUCUUGCCAAGUGCACAUUAUGUUGUUGCAUAAUUACAGCUUUCUAGUACUCAGUAUGGUAUUAUUAGCUCAAGCUGUAGCUCAUUUAGGUUACAUAAUUAUAGCACGCUCAGCAGUGAGCACUGACCUAUGGGGGGUGGGGGGUGUUUCUGGUGUUAUUUUUAAUCUACUUUAAUUGAUGAUACAUGUAGUUGUUACAAGUACUCCAAAUUUUGAGAAAGUUUGAUACAUUGAUUUUGCAAGCAUCUUUUUGAAUAUCUAAUGUCACACCAAUAUUUUAGAGUUAUUAUUUCUUCUUAUGAUGAUUGAAUAUUAAUAUUAUUUGAGUAAUGUUUCUUUUUAUGGUUCUUUUUCUUGUGGGCACAUCUUAAAAAAUUGUUCUACUGCAGAGUUGUAGCUCAUUAUAUUUUUAUAAUGUCUAAGACACAGUCACAAUUCAGUAACUUUCAUUUCCUUAUUAUCAUUAGAUUGAUUUAUUUUACAGCUUCAAAUACUCCUUGAACAGGCACAGGUAAGCAACUGGUAUUCUGAAGAUGAAAGCCACAGCUAAGGAUCUCUUUCCAUUGCAAAUACAUAUAAAGUAAUUUUCAUGGAUCAACAUAGUCCUGACUCCUGGGGAGGAAGUUCAGAAGGAGCUUGGGAGUGGGGAUGAGGAAGGCUUGGGCUGCUUGGGCAUUUCCUCUCUAGCUGGCUUUGCUCUUAUAAAUCCCUCUUGACUAUUACACAUCGCAGCUGGGCUACCUUGCUUUUGCCUAUCUAUAUCUUUCUCUUGGAUUUAACUGCAUUACGAGAAAGGUUAAGACUUAAACACAUGGCACUUAAACUUCUUAAUAUCAAUAAUUGAAGAACUUUAAUUUAAAAAAAUGUUUUAGAGUUAAUUCUUUUACCUUCCCUUAGAGAAUUAUCAUAAAUAACCACAGUUAACGCUUUUGACGUAUUAUUUCAUACUUACAAAGCUCUGUGAACCUCAAGAAGAAAUUUCUUUAAUUGUGCAGUGCAUAUUCUGUUAUUCUUAGCAUUUGAUACCAAUGAAAUGAAUUUUUAAGAAAGAAACUUCCGUUUUCAAAAUAUUCAUAAUUUAGAUUUUAACAACGUUUAUUUAAAUAUUCCAAAAAUAAAAGCCAUGGCUGUUUCAAUACUAAGGAUCUCUUUCCAUCUCCAAAUACACAUAGAAGCAAUUUUCAUUUAUGGGGUUGAAAGUUUAUAUGCUAAUAAAGACAGGAGAAUCAUUUUGAUUCAAUAAAAGGCAAGAUAAUUAUAUAAAAAGAUUUUUACCAGUAUAAUUAGCUAAUAAAGAUAUAGAAGGCUUUUAUUUCAUGUGGGCCUUUUCAGAGACUUUGGUCUGACCAAUGAUACAUACAUAUACCUACAAUUUUCUUUUUUUAAAUAUUUAUAUUUUAGUUUUAGGUGAACACAAUAUCUUUAUUUUAUAUUUAUGUCGUGCUGAGGAUCAAACCCAGUGCUUCAUGCAUGGUAGGCGAGCGCUCUACCACUGAGCCACAAAUCCCAGCCCCUACACCUACAAUUUUCUUAAUGCUAAACCGUUUAAAAUAGGUUUCUGAAAAUAUCUUGAAAUUCCCCUUCCACAGGUCUUGUGACUAUGACAGAAUAUAUGUAUCAUAAGCAAAGCAGGCCUCUCCUAAUGGGUGUCUGGGAAGUAUAGAAAUGCCAGAAGUGUUGGAGACCUUGGAGAGCAUCCGUCCCAGCAAUGCCAUUUACAAACAAAGACACUAAGUUCAGAGAAACCAACCUGACUUAAAAUACCCAGACUGUCUGUAAAUCCAAGAGAUUAUUAAAAGGAUAAUCUUUUAAUUUGAAUAAACAAAUACUCAAUUUGUGGUUUGCAAAGAGAAUUACUCAUACAGUGUUCACCUAGACACCAAAGACUGCCUCAUUAAAG